AACCGGGUACCAGAAGUUCAGAGGAAUGGGACGAUGCCAGAGACAACAACAAUAACAUCGGAAGCGCUCUCCACCCACAGGGCUGAUAUUCUGCUCAUGCUGCUAAAUAACGGGAUCUAUAUAUAGGGACAGAAGACAAUAAUGUGCUGAUGUAUGGGCUUUCUAGGAGUACUGCACACCAGUGAACCAGUCUAUUGCUUUCAAUCUUCAGCUCUAUUAAUGAUCAUCCAUCCCACCAGCUUGUUUACAUUUACAGGUCCUUAUCGUGCUCACAGCAUAGCCACUCCCCCCGCCACUUCCAAACCUGGUUACAUAUUUAUCAGCGGAAGAGAAGUAGGAUGAUACCACCACCAUCCUUGCUCCCAUGGAGCCUACACCAUAUGUGCCACCGCCACAGCAAACACCACCGCCCAGCACACAGGCAAGUGCUCCAAGUAUGGAUGAACUCUCCCUGCCCCUCCACCAUUUUUGGGAGCACCCACAUCCAGGUGGCCGGCGAGGCAAAUGGUCAUCUGCAGGAACUGACCCACGUGACACGUGAGCGGUUACAGGUAGCAACUGCAGGUGACUGGGGAGUACACGCAGGUCAUCCAGAAGCAAACGUAGGUGAUAGUUGUCCUGCAGUGGGAGCUGAU